ACGGGUGAGUAAUAUAUCGGAACGUGCCCAAUCGUGGGGGAUAACGUAAAGAAAUUUACGCUAAUACCGCAAACGAUCUAAGGAUGAAAGCGGGGGAUCGCAAGACCUCGCGCGAUUGGAGCGGCUGAUAUCAGAUUAGGUUGUUGGUGAGGUAAAAGCUCACCAAGCCGACGAUCUGUAGCUGGUUUGAGAGAACGACCAGCCACACUGGGACUGAGACACGGCCCACACUCCUACGGGAGGCAGCAGUGGGGAAUUUUGGACAAUGGGCGAAAGCCUGAUCCAGCAAUGCCGCGUGCAGGAAGAAGGCCUUCGGGUUGUAAACUGCUUUUGUACGGAACGAAACGGCUCUUUCUAAUAAAGAGGGCUAAUGACGGUACCGUAAGAAUAAGCACCGGCUAACUACGUGCCAGCAGCCGCGGUAAUACGUAGGGUGCGAGCGUUAAUCGGAAUUACUGGGCGUAAAGCGUGCGCAGGCGGUUAUGUAAGACAGUUGUGAAAUCCCCGGGCUCAACCUGGGAAUUGCAUCUGUGACUGCAUAGCUAAGUACGGUAGAGGGGGAUGGAAUUCCGCGUGUAGCAUGAAAUG
rnacentral:rRNA from 1 species